GAUUAACGCUGGCGGCGUGCAUAACACAUGCAAGUCGAACGAUGAAACUUAAAUGAUUUCUUCGGAAUGAACUUAAGUGGAUUAGUGGCGGACGGGUGAGUAACGCGUGAGUAACCUGCCUUACACAAGGGGAUAGCCGUUGGAAACGACGAAUAAUACCCUAUGAAACUAUCACUUCGCAUGAAGCGAUAGUCAAAGUGUUAGCGGUGUAAGAUGGACUUGCGUCUGAUUAGCUAGUUGGUGAGAAAAAAGCCCACCAAGGCAACGAUCAGUAGCCGGCUUGAGAGAGUGUACGGCAACAUUGGGACUGAGACACGGCCCAGACUCCUACGGGAGGCAGCAGGGGGGAAUUUUGCACAAUGGGGGAAACCCUGAUGCAGCGACGCCGCGUGAUUUAGAAGGCCUUCGGGUUGUAAAAAUCUUUUGUAUAGGAAGAAAAUGACAGUACUAUACGAAUAAGGUCCGGCUAAUUACGUG
rnacentral:rRNA from 1 species